CAGCAAAUCAGAUCAGUAUACAAGUCACAGCAGAUUUAAAGUGAGACUUCCCCAGGAUCCUUGUAUGAGAACAAACGAAAAUAUCCCAGUUUCCCCCCAACAUCAGCUAUAUAAAUAAUGCUACAGACGCAGACCCACGCUUUGGCGCCCCUCCUCCACCCGGGGCAGGAAGUCAGGCAGUUGUUCGGGUUUCUUGGGGCCAGGCCUGCCCUGUGAGGCGCCCCUCAGCCAUGUGCUCUAAGGGUGCCUGAGGAGAGAGAUGCUAAGGGAAGAGGAACCGGCGGCCAAGACUAACAAACAGGGCCCCUCAAGCGGAACAAUGGUCCAGAAAACUCAGCAAAAAAGAAAAUAAACUUCAUUGGCAGUUUGUUUUUUGACUGUUAAGGGCUUAGCUACAACUCUAUCAAGACUUUGAAGAAGGGUAAACAGAAGAACCACACCUCUGAGAGAAAGAAGCACUACUUCCGCUCCCACCUCCACCGCCUGGGGCCGGAGUUCAGCCUGGGUGAGAAGAGCUAGCUCUCAGGCCAAAGGCCUGAUGCUUUCAAAGGGCUUAACACAGCUGAGAAAUGUGUCACUGGGUCCAGACGACACUCAAGGAGACAGAUCCAAAAGGACCUUUCCAAGGAGUUUUGUCAACAAGUUCCCUGUCUUAAAGAGGGGAAUAUCCAGGAACUUGUAAACAUGGCUCCCGAGUGUAACAGACCGUGGCUCAGGCACAGGAUGGACAGCAUUUUCUUGACAACAUUCUACAUACUUAAACAUCCUUUAAAGUUAAUCAUAGGAACCCUGGAGAGGAUGUCACAGAAAGGCUCCUGGCAAACUAAACUGAGGAACCAAAGCUCCCUCAUCAUCACGUCAGUGCUGAUGCAAAUGUGGAAGUCUGUGAACAACAAUAGUCAUUGACUGCAAGAUGAAGAAGGUUUCAGAGAAGGGUGGGGGAGGGGAGUGAAGGAAAGAAAAGCAAAGCAGAUUGAGAACACAGAGAUUCACCUCAGUGGGGUUCGAAUGCUCUCCUGGAACUGUGAGGAAGCACUUAAGCUCAUGCCGAUCCAAAUGUGGGCCUGAUUCUGUGCACUCCUUGAUGACACACAGAUUCAUUGGUGAUAUAAAACAUUUAUGAACUUCAAUUACCCAGUUCAACGUGAACACCCAAAGAAUGACACAGAGUUCAAAUCGGAAUAGACUGUCUCCCAAAUUCUCCAUGUUAAAAAUGAGGACAGUGCAGCCCAGCAAAAGAAGAGAAGUCACCGCAGACAGGACAGGCUAGCCUGAGAGGAAGACAGUGAGAAAUCUUGGAAGGAGAAAUUGAGCAACUGUAGAGCCAUUCCCCAGGAACGGCCUGGAAGAGGACAACCUAGAGAUCCUCACUGUGUCUGCAAACAGGCUCCCUAUCUCCAGACUCUGUUCUGUGGAACCAUGUGGCUUUCAUGCCACAGCAUCAGGCAGGGUUCAGCAGUGGUGACUGAUAGACCACACAACACUGGGAAGCAGCAGCAUCUCUCACGGUAGCAAAGCUGUGCACCAACUUUUGUUUUUAUUCUUUUAGUUUUGCAUUUUGUUUUGGGGCACUCACCAUGCAGUUCAGGCUGACUUCAAGGCUGUAAUCCUUCUGCCUCAACAUGUGAAAACUGAGAUUACAGGUGUGCAUCAUCGUGUCUGACUGGGUAGUUUUUAUUUUAAGAAUUCAAACUAAUCACCCCAGAUCUUACUAUUAAAAAAAAAUCAAGUCUCAGGAUCUGUGUGUUUACUCAGAGAAAGAGCCUCCCAUGCAUCAUUGCUGUGGAAGUGUGCUGACCAGAGGCAGCCAAAGGACAGCUCGUCUCAGUGGUUAGAUCUCUCUCUCUCCUUUCUUUCCAACACCAGUCACAAACAAUUUCCAUCUUUGUCACACUCCAUUUAUUUAGUGUGUGUAGACCAAGUGAGCUACACCAGAACACAAGAUGUUGGCCAGCUCAGAUAAACAAACGUUUACUGAGUGCUCAUGGAUGGCUUGUCAUUGGGCUUGGCCUUGGAAAUAUAAACAUGUCACUGUCCUGCCCCUGGAGUAAUUUUCCUGUCUAGGUUUUAGCUUUUACCUAAAAUCAUCCAACUGCUCUUACAUCCUGGUGCCCAGUUUGAACUUUGCUGGCCUGUCUCUUCCAAGCUCUGAUGACAUACUUUCUUAAUGUGCCUAACCGUACUGACCUAGUCACAUGACAACCCCCCCAUUCCUUCUAGCAUAACCUGACCCUCCCAGAUGACAACUCCAUCCUAAUCCUGUGAAUAAGCACCUACUGUACCUCAGCUGAGAGAUGGUAACUUAAUCCUCCCCUAGUCAAGUACAUUUUAAUUUAAUAAGAAAUACUAUUAAGUACUUACUGAACAUUUGGGAUAGUAUUAGGAAUCACAGAAAACACUGAGACAGUAUGUAUUCCACGUCAUGCUUAGCAGCACACAUAGAACCCACUUUAGACUUCACAGUACCCCUGUGAACAUUAUCAGUUCGUUGGCAGACGUGGAAAUUGACCCAGAGGAGGCAUGUCCACUUGUUUGGGGUAGAGUGAGCAUCCCAGCUCAAGUGUAUGCUCAGAGUCUAGCCGUAGAAUCUAAAGCUCCUCUCUGCACGCCACUCAUAGGUUACGAUGUUGCUAUUCACACAGUCAUUCUCCAUUUCGCAAAUGAGAAGGAACUACAGUUUAGGGAUGUUAAGAAACCUGCCUCCGAGCAGAAUGAAAACUGAGCGGGUCUGUCUGACUUUAGAUAAUCCUGCUCUUGCCAAAAGUUGCCUCAGGGUUCAAUACAAGG